AUGCUCAAUGACAGAAUAAAUACAUGUGAUCUUUUGGUUCGAAAAAGCAUGCAUCUGGAUUCCACAGUAUGUGUAUUAUGCAACAAUGAUGACAUGGAGGACAGGACUCAUCUCCUCUUUACAUGUCCAUUUAGUCAAGGGUUUUGGUGGAACAUUGGCUUUGAAUGGAAUUCGGAUCUGGACAUCAACAACAUGAUUAUUGAUGCUAACCAGAGAUAAAAUAUUGGUCACUUUAUGGAAAUCAUGAUACUAGGAUGCUGGAGCAUAUGGAAUCAGAGAAGUGGGAUGAUCUUUGAAGGAAUACCAUGCUCAAUAAAUGAAUGCAGGAAUGAUUUUAUCAGAAAUUUCAAAAUGACCAUAUUUAGGGCUAGGCCUACUCUGAAAGAGGGCAUGUCCUCUUGGAUAGAAAAUAUUUAA
rnacentral:rRNA from 1 species